UUGUCGUGUUAAGAUAAGGUAUUGGUUUCUGCAGCAGCUAGACCGGGUGUGGUUCGCUCGGCGCUCUCUUUUUACGUUUGAUAUUUGAUCAACUGGCUGAGGAGGAUUACAUUAUUGUGUACACAGCGCAUGGGAGUAGAUGUCCGAGAUAGGUAACUUGGUGCGUUUUCUUUCUGAAAGAUUCAAAAGUGGAUUACAGCAGAUAGAAUUUUGAAAUGCGGUGUGGGUGUGUUCGGCACCUAAUAAAAUAUUGGCGUUGUCGACAUUAAAUUAAUCAUGGAGUUCUCAAUUGGUAUCAAAAUGCGGGGAUGUGGCGUUUUGCAAGGCAGAUACUGUGCUCUUUUCAAGGAAUAACGACUUGCAACUUUGCACCGCACUGGAUUGGUAUAAGAGACCCUUUAGAUCGUUAAGAUUGUAAGAAGUGUAGCCACCAACGUCAGAACUUAAACACACACAUCCCAAGCAGUCACUAAUCAAUUCUUUUGGUCAAACGCAUAAGCUGCCAAGAACAGAUGUGAUGUCUUUCAGCGUACAGAAGGAUGAGAACUUCGCUCACAGAAGUUGCAUUAAUUGUCACCACGAACUGACUUUGAGACUUCUUCACGGAUACCCCGAAUAAAAGCAAUAAUCUUUCUUGCAGCAACGGUCGGAAUUAUCACAUCUCGUCAGAUUUCCAGUUGUGCUUAAUUGAGUCUUGACGCCGAUGAAUUAAUCUGGCAGUAUAAUGUAGUUUAUCGUCAAACGUUUUGUUGGCACAGGCUGAAAACGUCUUAAUCAUGACAAUUUACACGAUGUCAACUGAAUAUUCACCCAUCUUGCAGCGCUUUCGUUGCUAAAUGUCUUCUAUCACAUACCGGUACAUUCAUCCUGCAAACUACAUACUUUGAGCUGGUCAUCCACGUAGAAAUCAUUACAGGACAAACGGUUCGUUAUCUCUGAAGGCGCUUCAUUACUCGCCUCGCUUCCUUCAACAUAUACUACCUCCAAUCGACUGAACUGGCUGUCGCAUGUCUAGGGUGGUGAGCGCAGGCAGUUCAAGAGGAACUCUUGGGUAAUCGCUGAUUAAGCACUGAUUGAAUUGGAAAGCAGAUUGGCAUAGGAUUCGACGAGGAUAUUGAUAGUUGAGAUUCCACCUAUUUGCACGUAUCAACAGGUGUCCUGUGCAGUACUGUGCAAAAGUGCAAGGUACAGUGGGUAAUCGGUGACGCUUCUUUGUCACUUAAAUUAUUAGUGGGUUGUUCCUUGUAACGGAUGUUCUCAGUUGGAUACAAUCCUAAGGCGAGGAAACUACGAUUCCCACUCGCAUAACUUAACGAGCCGUUUUGAUCUGUGCAAAUAAGGAGGCACAUUGGUUUGUGUCAGUUAUACGAUUUAGCAAAAAUCUUGAGGUGAAACAGAUUCUAUAGUGAAAUUAACUAUAUGUUUUGAAGCUAUAUGUGUGUAUGGGAGUACUAUUGCGUCAGCUACUAUAUACGGCACAGUAAAAAGGAAAAAAUUUAUCGACCUUCGUGUAACAGAACAGAAUUUCUGUGAACGCAUGCGAUGCAAAUACCUCCAAUUGUUCGCCACAGGGAGACAAUUUUUACAAGGGACCAGUGAUUUCGUUGAACGGUUGAGAGAAUUUAUCUUCUCACCAACCUUUGCAAUCUGACUAAACACAUACGGCGUAUAGCAAUCGCCGCAAGCGAUAACAUCUUAGUUUGCGAUCGAUCGCUAUUGCAUUUGCUAGGAGAAGCACAACCGUGUAUCUGGAUUUUGUAGAUUUGGACUUUAUAGAUUUCUAGUUUACAGAUUUGGUGGGUGAGGUCGUGUCAAAAGCCUUCACAAGAGCGGAUUACACAAUAUAUAUAAUAUAGGUACAUAAUCAAGUUCGAGAGCACAUACAUUUGUAUAUCGGAAGGUUGAUCUAGAUCAUAUAACUUUAAAGGCAAAGUUAAGUUUUGAGAGAAAGAAUACUGAUACCCAUUUCAGGGAAGAACCCAUUAUUCUGAUUGGCGUACGUUUGUUCUCAAAUAUGCCAAAUAAUCGUCACUGGAAGCGUCGCCAGGCCAGACUCCACGGUGCCCUACGCGGCUGGCCAAACAAUUCAAUGAUAGUAACAUUUAAUAUCGAAGGUCAGAAUCGAACAUUUAAGGCACUCAUAGACCACAUUCCGCAGGAAAAAGAACCCUACGAUGCAGAAGGUGCCACUCUAUACGUUGUAGCUGUGAUAAUCAUUUAUGGGGUCAGUAUAAUACUGAUGAUUUUAGCAACUGUCCGGGGUCGUCGACAGCAUAGAUACCUUGACCAACAGAUAUCGUCGUACUUCAAAGACGUUGAACGAAUUAGGAAAAAGGCUAUGGCAAAUUCUGUUAUCAACCAAUCCAUUAGUUUAGCAGCUUCACAGACUAGACUGGACUCCAGUACGAAUCAGUUAGACUCAUUACCAUUGAUUGUGGAGUCGUCUGAACCUUCCCCUGACGUGCGAGGUUCUCGCAAUUUUUUCCCGAACGAUUCCGCUAGUUCAUGCAGCACCCCAGCUCUGUCUCAGUGUGGACAAUUCGACGUUGCUGGUGCACCAACGCGCUUUGAAAAAGGGAUUCUGAGAAAAUCAUUUAAUAGAGAGAAUUCAGCGAGUGCUGAGAGUUCGCCAGCUUCAUCUCGGAGUGUCAAGUUCCGGCACGAUUAUGGGGUUGAGAGAGGAGCUCUUCGGCAUCAGCUGAAGUAUCAGAUCGACAGCUUAGGCGUCCUCAGGCCAAAACUAGCGGAUUAUAUUGACGACGAGGAUACUGUUAGUGCUCCCAAUUCUCCUGGACUUGCAAGGGUUCAAUUCAAACCAUUGGGUCAACAGCUUGGUAGAAGGGGCCAGGCGCGUGUACACAAGAUGCAACAAGAACAUGAGGAGCAAAAUAGAUCUGAAACGGAGGAUGAAAACUGAAACUGAUUUACAUGUAAUGCCUUGUGUGUUGACCGGCAAGUAGCACAAUAUUGCAGUGUACACUUAUAUGACGUACACUAGCAUGCUCUUCUGGUCCUCGUUCUCUCGAAAUUGUUUUUUCCCGAAAAAUCUUUGGAAUGAAUAGGUAUGGAAUAGUUUAUGUGAAAGCUCCACUCCAGCAUCUCCAUCUAACGGUUGAAAAACCAAUGGGGGGGGGGGAUCAUCAAAGGACUGUCAAAGUGCAUGAUAACGUACAUGUAUGCAAAUAUGGAGAGUUAGAUCCCAUCCCUUUAAAAGGUGGGGUCCGGUCAUCCAAUACUGAGACAGGGUCGAAACGGUCAGUCUGUUCAUCAAAAGUGAGGGAGCGUCAAAUGUCAGUGUCUGCAUACGAAAAUGUUGGUUCGUUAGCAGCUGUUUUAUGUGAGGGAUUAUAUACCAUGUAAACCGUCCCAUUUUUGUACGACUCAAAUUAUCAAAGUACCGUACUUACUGUUGUUUUAGUGGCUAUUAAAGUUUUUGAUGUUACAAACGAUGCUCGUCGGUUUAUCACAUUUGUAUAUAUAAGUUAAAAAACCAAGGCUACUUCAGGUAGGAAUCUAACCUAUUGACAUAUUAAUCGAUUCUUGUAUGGACAAUUUAUAAGCACUUAAUGUGAUCUGGUGCCAUUUGGUAAGUAAAUAUGUAUAUGUAUGAUUCGAAUUGGUAUACAUUAUACUCGGAAGACAUUUAAACAAAUGAGGUCAGAUAUAAAAAAGAAACAAUAGAAGUCUUGCUGAAUGCCUCAAUUCAAAUUCGUAGUAAUAUAAUACACGAGAUAUUAAGAAUGCUGCUUAAAAGGUGUUUCAUUUUGCUUGCUUGCUCCGGGCAAGUUCUUUGCGGAUUAAAGUCGCUGGGAUCGGACCUCAAGGAUCGCCUGGUCGAGUGUCCAUCAUAUCACUACUACGAGGCCAUCUUCACGUCGUGUCAGCCUUGUGGGAUACUGUGUGAUAUCAGCCAAGAGAUAUGCAUUGAUCGUGGCUGCACAGAUUACUUGGAGCUUUUCGCUGAAGAACCAACGACUUCUCCUUCGACGCCGAAACCUGAACUCCUCUAUGAUAUCAGCCCCAACGACCCCGACUAUAAUGACUACACAGACGACUACGCGCCAGACGAGUCUCCAGCUGCCAAUGAUUGUAUGUGCGUCUCAACCUUCAACGUGAUAUUGGUGUUGUCAAUCUGCGCCAGCGCACCCCUUCUGAUGGCCGUACUCGGCUUACAGAUCUACGUCUUCUUCUGUCGGAGGAGAAAACGUCUCGCAAAGAAAUUCAAGAUGGAAUGCAAAGCACUAAAGAAUACUUCCAAAAGACGUAACGAACUGUGCUUUACCGUACCAAACGGUGGCUAUGGAAACGAAGGAUGCGUUACAAACAGUGGAAGGCCAUAACAUUGUUGAUGGAGCAGAAACACCGAUAACUUCACGGCAGCUGCUGUUGAAAUCAACGCGUUGCUGGAUCUACAAGGUCCUCCAGAAAACUUCACUGCCAAAACUCACAUCCUUGUCAGUGAAGUUUUCCCAUUUAUCGCGAUCAUUUAGUUUUUUGUUGAAGUAUUGUCAUCAUACAUAUCAAUGCCAAUGUAGAAGGUUUAAAAUGUCCUGGGAUAGGAAGUUUAGGGAACAAAGUAUUCUAUUUUACGCUUACGCUUUAAUCUCUGAGCUAUUGACGAUCAUGGCCUCCAUAGAACCAUAUUCCCUAAUUUAUCAGAAUACGAUUUACCCGGACACUUUUUCCAAGGUGUCAUUUUCUACUUGUACACCGGUCGAAAUAGGCUCCUUGUCUACAUCGCCGAUGCGGUAAGCAGAGUAAAUCCUUUCUCAUUUAAUUACAACAGGGAGGAGAAACGACCCCGGCUUUCUCUGGAAAUCCCAGGGCAGUAGCCAGAGAGAAUGCAUUCUGCGUGUACAUGGUAUAGGAGUCGAAGACUCGUGAGGGUUCCUACCAACUCACAGAUGAUGCUGAUGAAGAAAUAAGGAACAAGGAUUUUAGCACGCAUGCCAAUAUUGCAUUGUAAGGUGUACUAUAUUGUUUAAGUGGGUCGAACGUACAUACAAUUGUACAUGACAUAUUACAUGACAUAGUACAUACGCUGUCUGGUAACCGCAAAGAAACUUAAAUGAAUGUACAAGUAUACACAAAGCAAAGCACUUAUU